rnacentral:rRNA from 1 species
CAGUAGCCGCGGGAAUACGGAGGGGGCUAGCGUUGUUCGGAAUUACUGGGCGUAAAGCGCACGUAGGCGGCUUGGUAAGUUAGAGGUGAAAGCCCGGAGCUCAACUCCGGAAUUGCCUUUAAGACUGCCGAGCUAGUAGGUGAGAGAGGUAAGUGGAAUUCCGAGUGUAGAGGUGAAAUUCGUAGAUAUUCGGAAGAACACCAGUGGCGAAGGCGGCUUACUUGCUCAUUCUAGACGCUGAGGUGCGAAAGCGUGGGGAGCAAACAGGAUUAGAUACCCCCGUAGUCCCUGUCUCUUAUAC